GUGCCCCACACCCCUGGGCUCCAGAACCCAAGGGGGAAAGUAGAGAGAGUGGCAGCUGUCAGGAGCUGCCCUUGGCGACCCAGGACCAGGGCCUGUUGGAAGAAGGGAUUGGAGCUGCUGAGACAGAGGUGAGGAGCCCCCCAAACAGUAGAGAGUUAGUGACCAAUAGUCAUCUUACCUGAGCUCCUACCUCAAGCAGGCACCGUGCUCAGCAUGGCAUAGUAAUUACCACAACAGCCUCAUGGGGUGACAAGUCCACUUUUGAGGGUCGAUCUGGUCUCUGCAAAGUCUCUGCAAAUGAUUCAUCAUCUUCCCAGUUGCUCAGACCAAACACCCGGGAAACACCACUUCCCUGCCCCACAAUCGCCAGUGCCUGAACCAGCCCUCCUGUCUCUACCUUCGAAAUAGGCCGGAACCUGCCCCAUCUUGCCAGGGGUUGUCUGUUUCUCCUGCCCUCACCCGCCUCACACACGCCGGGCGUGCCCCCAGGGCAGGUGAGCCGGUCGCUUUUUGGGUGCAUGGAGCUGAGCAGAGGACGUGGCCCAGUCCUCACGUGCAGGUGCUUGAGAGGCGCACGUCGCGGAGGCU